rnacentral:lncRNA from 1 species
UGUUGGAAAUAACCACGCUGUCUAAGUCCGGGUCGGACUAGAGUCAAUCACGUGUACAUGUAGGAGUCCUAGUCCUAGUUAGCUUUAGGCUGUUUGGUUUAGCUCCUAUAUAUACUUGUACCCCUGUAAGGUUUUUUAACUGAGAAAAAAGCAAUACAAAGCAUAGGUGCGACACGCACCUAUUAGCCAUCAAAUAUCUUGUGUUUCGCCGAGUUGUGCUAGUCUAGAUCAAUUAAGUAUCCAGCCGUUGCUACGUACUAAGCUAGCUAGCUUCAACAUCCAUCAGCUAGUUUUGUACGUGCACGUUGCCUCAGGAAGAAUCAAUCAAGCGUGGUUUCGUACGUACGUGUUCGGUCGACGGAAAGUACUCGUCAAGGAGCCGUCGUGCAACGUUUGAUCGGGCCUGUGCCAACAAUUGGUACCAGAGCUUUGGUAUUGACGUGAUUCUCGGAAAGCAAUCGAAGGAUCAUGUCGACCACGGGCAAGGAGAUUGUGACGGCGGCAGCGGGAGCACCGAUGCCGAUGGUGGGGGGAUCACAAUUCCCCCGUCUGGAUCGAGAGGACUACGCACUAUGGGCGAUGAACAUGGAGGUCGCGAUGGAGGGAGCUGAGUUCUGGGAAGCCGUCGACCCGGGCGGCGCCGAGUACGCAAAGGGCGCGGCGAAGUACCGGAAGGAUCGUCAGGCGUUAACAGCUAUCUACUCCGCCAUGCCAAAGGAUGUGCUGCAACACCUUGUCGGAAAGAACUCGGCGAAGGAGGCAUGGGAGACCAUCAAGAUCCUACACCAGGGUCAUGACCGUGUCAAGGAAGCACACCUUCAGUCCCUGAUGAGAAGCUACGAGUGCCUGAAGAUGGAUGAAAGUGAGACGGUUGAUCAGUUUGCCGCCCGUCUCAAGACCCUCGUCAAUGGCAUACGCAUCUAUGGUUCAACCCUAGAAGAAGUUGCGAUCGUCCGACGAUUUUUGCGCGCCGCGCCGGCACGCUACAUUCAGAUUGUCACGUCGAUCGAGCAAUGUCUCGACCUGAAGACUCUCACGGUUGAGGAUCUCGUCGGAAGGUUCAAGGCCCACGACGAGAGAAUUCGUCUCAGUUUCGGCGAAACGGAGGCGAGUGAGCACCUCAUGCUUACAAAGGCGCAAUGGAUCGCCCUGUCGAAAGAAAAGCAAGGCGGAUCUACGAGCAGCGGCAAGAAGAAGGGGAAGGGGAAGCAGCGCUCGGCGAGAAAGAACUUCGCCAACUCGGACGACGAGGAUGCGCCUGCACCACCGAGGAGGAAGUUUGACAUCAGAAAAGUGAGGUGUCAUAAGUGUGGCCUCCUCGGUCACUUCAAGGCUAACUGCGAGGAAGCACCGAAGCAACGGGCGCUUAUGGCCGAGGAAGGAGACGAUGGGGAUAUGAUGCUAAUGUGCGAGCUAGUGGACGAAGAGGAUCCAGAUGAUCUUGGUCAGCUGGACACGGGUCCGGUGAGUGCAUCUGCGUCAGUAAACCCAGGCGAAGUUAUGGCGCCAGAAGACCAUGACCCAAGGCGUGACAGUGUGAUUACGCUAGUAAACCCGGGCGAAGUCGUGGCACCAGAAGACCAUGACGGAAGGCGUGACGGUGUGGUCACGUUAGAAGCAGGCGAAGAAGUGGCGACAAAAGUCCAUGACACAAUGCGUGAUGGUAUGGUCGCGCUAGAAAACGGCGAAGACGUGUCGCCAGAAGAACAUGACGCGGGGCGUGAUGAAGCGAUCAUCCCAGAAGAACGCAACAUGCGGCGAGCUACACUCGGACCAGAUGAAUUUGGCGCAUACGUGAUUUUGGAUAGUGCAACGACGAGUUGCGCGGAUGGGUCUAGUGGCGUUGUGAAGGUGGCAACGAGCGGCGUCGCGUCACACGCCAGUUCACCAGCUCCAUCGGCUGCGUUGCAGGUGCCGGGCGAGAGUGCUUCGCUCGAUGACUCAGUGAGCACGUGUGCGAGCCAGGUUGCUGGCACUGCAGGCGGCAGCCCAGCGGCAACUGAAAGCAGCAGUAGCAACAACACGUACGUGGCUGGUGCUGCCUUGCCGGAUAGCGCGUGCAGCCCAACAAACAGGCUGGAUGAGACUGGCCACUAUAUGCCUCAUGCACACAGGCCAGGGAACCAACCACCACGUGGUGGUGAUGGUCUACGAGACAAAGCAGGGAAGCAAAGCCCAGAAAAUUUGCAAGGCGCAGAAAAUUGUGCAGAAGGCAGUUCACCACCAUGUGGAGGACCGAACGAUGCCAAAAAAGGUGACAGGCAGCAGCGAUGGAGUCCAGUAAACAGCAGGCUUGGAAGCCAGGUAAAAGAAGCAAAAUCGCCAGCAACGGUAACAUUGGCAAGUUUAGAUUCUUCAAUAGCACACGAACGACGCGUGUUGGAUCUCUCUCCAGAAGCAGGGCUUCAGAUAAAUUUGGUGAAGAUGAAAAGUAAAGGGCAACGAAGUUUGCACAUCGAGGAACCGGAAAUUUUUGAAGAUGCAAAUAUGGAGAAGUGUUGGCGUCGUGCUAUGAAUGAAGAGUUGUGGUCGAUCCGAGACAACAAUACAUGGGAGCUCGCGGAUCUUCCCAACGGUCAGAAUGCCAUAGAGCUCAAGUGGGUGUACAAAGUCAAGAAAGAUGCCGAAAAAAACUUGAUGAAGCAUAAAGCAAGGCUUGUAGCUAAAGCAUGCGUGCAAGAGCAAGAUGUGGACUUCGAAGAAGUGUUCGCUCCAGUUGCAAGGAUGGACUCGGUGAGACUACUUAUAGCUCUCGCGGCUCAAGAAUCUUGGAGGAUACAUCACUUGGAUGUGAACUCCGCGUUUUUGACCGGGGAGUUAGAAGAAGAAUUGUAUGUGAAGCAACCACCAGGGUACAUCCAAGAAGGAGAGGAACACAAGGUAUUGAAGCUACACAAGGCGUUGUACGGGCUACGACAAGCUCCUCAGGCAUGGAAUGUUGAGCUUGACCGUACAUUUAUUUCUCUUGGAUUUGAGAAAGCCCCACUAGAGCAUGCUAUGUACAAGCAAGGUGAUGGCAAUGAUCGUCUACUAGUGGGCAUCUAUGUGGAUGAUUUGCUGAUAACUGGAGCAGACGAAGAGGUGAUUGCAAACUUCAAACUACAAAUGAAGAAGCUAUUCAAGAUGACUGAUCUAGGGCUCUUGAGUUACUACCUCGGGAUCGAGGUACAGCAAAAGCCGGAGGGGAUCAUAAUAUGACAGGAGGCAUAUGCAAAGAAGGUACUUGAAAGCUGUGGCAUGAAAGAUUGCAAUCCAAGUCAUGUUCCGAUGAAGCCUCGUCUCAGACUAAGCAAGAAGAGUGAAGCACCCGCGGUUGAUGCAACGGAGUAUAGAAGUGUGGUCCGAAAGUUGAGGUAUCUCACGAAUACAAGACCGGACUUGGCCUAUUCCGUUGGCAUAGUGAGUCGCUUCAUGGAAGCACCCACGACGGAGCAUUGGGCAGCGGUGGAAAAUAUACUCAGGUACAUCAAAGGGACAACAAAUUUCGGUUGUGUCUACUUGAGAAAGAAGAAGAAGGAGAUGGUGGAGCUACUUGGCUACAGUGAUAGCGACAUGGCAGGAGAUGUGGACGACCGUAAAAGUACCUCGGGCGUGGCAUAUUUUUUGGGAGGAAGCAUAGUGAGUUGGCUGUCACAAAAGCAGAAGGUGGUCGCAUUAUCAUCUCGUGAAGCAGAGUAUAUUGCAGCUGCAACCGCGGUGUGUCAAGGUGUGUGCCUUGGAAGGCUACUCGGUGACCUCACAGGUAAGGAACCGGAAGGAGUGGUGUUCAAUAUUGAUGACGUGUCUACAAUCUCUCUAUGAAAGAAUCCAGUGCAUCAUGGUAGAUGCAAGGACAUCGAUAUGAGAUAUCACUACCUAAGGGAGUGUGUGGAAGAAAGCAAGAUCGACAUCAACUACGUUUGCACCGAUGACCAGCUUGCAGAUAUCCUAACCAGAUCUUUGGGACGACAGAAGUUCGUGAAGAUGCGGCGAAGGAUCGGCGUCCAAGCUGUGAAGUGAGGACAUCGUGUUUAGGGGGGUGAUUGUUGGAAAUAACCACGCUGUCUAAGUCCGGGUCGGACUAGAGUCAAUCACGUGUACAUGUAGGAGUCCUAGUCCUAGUUAGCUUUAGGCUGUUUGGUUUAGCUCCUAUAUAUACUUGUACCCCUGUAAGGUUUUUUAACUGAGAAAAAAGCAAUACAAAGCAUAGGUGUGACACGCACCUAUUAGCCAUCAAAUAUCUUGUGUUUCGCCGAGUUGUGCUAGUCUAGAUCAAUUAAGUAUCCAGCCGUUGCUACGUACUAAGCUAGCUAGCUUCAACAUCCAUCAGCUAGUUUUGUACGUGCACGUUGCCUCAGGAAGAAUCAAUCAAGCGUGGUUUCGUACGUACGUGUUCGGUCGACGGAAAGUAC